rfam:Pteropus alecto contig95089, whole genome shotgun sequence.
GUGUUCUCUUCAGCAGCACAUACACUAAAAUUUAAAUGACACAGAGAAGAUUAGCAUGGCCCCUAAGCAAGGAUGACAUGCAAAUUAACUUUGCCAAAUUAUU